rnacentral:tRNA from 1 species
GGCGCGGUAGCUCAGAGGUUAGAGCGGUCGUUUCAUAAGCGAUAGGUCGGAGGUUCAAUUCCUCCCCGCGCCACGA